rnacentral:tRNA from 1 species
UGAUGCAUGGUGUAAUGGUUUGAGCAUUGGACUAUGACUCUGGAGACCAGGGUUCGAAUCCCAGCUCAGCCA